rnacentral:lncRNA from 10 species
AGUCACCACAGCCGCGGCGGCAACUGCCGAGUCGGCUUCCGCGGCCACGGUAAUGAGGGGGAUGUCUGGAGACACCCCGUCCACUGUUGCCCUCGCCCUUUACUCUAAAGGGGAAUGAGGAGCCCUGAGCAGCGAACACAGUAAUUGGGAUUCCCGCAACUGCAAAUCCCGCCCCUUCCCCGAGCGCUGGCCGACAGUAGGGCGGACCGACGCUGAGCAAGGGAUUACAUCCCAAGAUUUACAGGUGUGCAGAACGUGGGACACGUGGGGGGCAGGCACAGACGGCCGGCAGAGCUGGGAGGGAUGGAUUCUAUGUUUUAAGGGCCCACUUUGGCUGCAGUGGAGCCAGAUUAUCGUCUCGCAGUAAUUCAGACUUUACAUUGUUUUUUUCAUUUUCCCAUCACCCAGAAAUACAUUAAAUUCUUAAUGUAAAAAUGUUCAUUUAAUUCCCUCUCGGUAUUUUGGAAAACGGCCGUAUUGGAGUAUCUAACUCUAAACUUAAGAAUUUAAGAACUAAAACUUAAAUACUAAAAUUAGGUCCUGCAAUAUUCGUGCAGUCAAAAUCUCAAGCCGCUAUUCCCAAUAAGGAAUAGCUUUCUGAAGGGGUCCCUUCUGCCCACGGACAGCACAACAGGCCUUUCUCAACAUGAGGGAGCAGAGACCGCUGCUAAUCUAGGGCUAAAUUUCUGAGUGGAGGGGAAGAGGAAGAUGGUGUUUCCCAGAGUAGCAGCAGCAAACACGAAUGAAUGGGAAGUCAUGCGGAGUGGCUCAGAGGCUUUUGAAUGUAACAGACCUAGGGUUGCUGUCUCGGCUGCCAAUUACUGACUUAAAAGCUAAUCUCUUACCUCUCUAAGCCUCAGUUUUAUCAAAUGCACAAUGGAGAUAACAAAAGUCCACUCUAAUGAAUUCUUACAAAGCAAGUUACUUUAUUAGCAUUUUAAACAAUGUAUAAGUGAUGGAAUCAUUCUAACAACACAUCUAUUCACUGCUUACAAUUCCAACUAAUUUCAGUUCUUUGAUAUCUAAUGACAAGAGCGAAGACCUGUUAAAGUUCCUUCCACCAGUAAAACUCACAGCUCAAAGUUGUGGGAGUGAUUAACUGAGCCACAGGCCUUCAUUCACAUGUUUACCACAUUAAAAUACCACACAGUGUUUUCUUAUAAGGUCAACCAACUGGGAAGCAAUUAACAUUAGCAUUAAGAUUUAAACUGUUAGGCACAGGGCUAAAUCAGGCAUUAUAUGAAAACUUGUGGUUCCCUAGUCAAGUCAAACAAAUCCCCAAAUAUUUCAGCUUGUAACAGUUUUGUCCUUCCUCUCUUGAGACAAUUAUUUGAGUACUUGCUUUUGGAAAUAAGGUAAUUCAUGAUGGAAGCUUCCUAGCUGUGAUGGUGCUCUAGGCAACUUCAGAGAAUGAAGAUAGAAGUUAUGCAUGAUUAUAUAACAUGAAGAGUUUAAUUUUUAUUACACACUCAAUUUCCAUGCCCUGAUUUCUCUUAGCUCUAUAAACACAUGUAAAUCUUCUGCAGAGCUUUAAAGAGCUCUGAAAGGGAAAACACCUUUCCAUAUAUGGAAUUGAUAGCAUAGUA